CCUACGGGAGGCAGCAGUGGGGAAUCUUGCGCAAUGGGCGAAAGCCUGACGCAGCAACGCCGCGUGCGGGAUGAAGGCCUUCGGGUUGUAAACCGCUUUUAACCGGAACGAAAAUGACGGUACCUGUAGAAUAAGGUGCGGCCAACUACGUGCCAGCAGCCGCGGUGACACGUAGGCACCAAGCGUUGUCCGGAUUUAUUGGGCGUAAAGAGCUCGUAGGCGGUUCAGUAAGUCGGGUGUGAAAACUCUGGGCUUAACCCAGAGACGCCACUCGAUACUACUGUGACUAGAGUUCGGUAGGGGAGCGGGGAAUUCCUAGUGUAGCGGUGAAAUGCGCAGAUAUUAGGAGGAACACCGGUGGCGAAGGCGCCGCUCUGGGCCGAUACUGACGCUGAGGAGCGAAAGCGUGGGUAGCAAACAGGAUUAGAUACCCUGGUAGUCCACGCCGUAAACGGUGGGCACUAGGUGUGGGCUCCAACCAACGGAGUCCGCGCCGUCGCUAACGCAUAAGUGCCCCGCCUGGGGAGUACGGUCGCAAGGUUAAAACUCAAAUGAAUUGACGG
rnacentral:rRNA from 1 species